GUGAAUAAUAAUAAUGAUAAUAAGGAUAAUAAUAAUAAUAAUAAUAAUAAGAAAACAAAAAUGAGAAUAGCAAAAUAAUAUUUACAAUAUUUACAGGGGUGGAACACAAAACACAGAACCAAAGGAAAGGGGACGAGAGUGGUGCUAAAUCAACGAAAGAAACAAAACAAAACGAAGCUAACUAUUUUUAAAGACCUCUAAACUAAUCUAAAGAAAAUAAAAAUAAAACAAAAGGUCUUCAGCGUAUACACGCCCUAACUAAACUACACUAGCUAGAUAAAAGUCGGGGAAAAACAUACAAGGGUGGCACUCACUCCUAAACUAGUGUGUCUAAUACAAAAUUAAUAUCUCCCUACGUGUGCACAAUGUAUGUCGCGCGACAAUCUUACCUGUCCGCCUUUCCCCGGCACGGGGAAAACGAAACGCCAGAACAUUCAGGACAAAACAACGGGAUAAAUGAGAUAACGAAAAACGAGAAUGAACUGACAUACACAGGCGGGGUAAAUAUAACAAGCGAAACAGACAGUACACAGUAACAGAAGGGUGUAUAAUUGUACAGUAAAUACAGUAAAUGAGCCGCAAAUGACUGACGCGCGUUUGAACUGGCGUCCUUUUUAAAACUGUGGGAGAAUGGAGAUUGGUGGAACCUGAUGUGACGUCAUUUAUAUACUGCAAUGAUUGACAUGUUGAUGGUCCAAUCGGGAAACUGGGUGUAUCUGGAGAGAGAGACAGCGGAGAGAGAGAGAGAGAGAGAGACACAACAACAAAGACACACCUACACGGACGUAACACACCCUCCCUUAAGAACAAACAGGUGUUUGUUCUAUCACACAAUUAGAGGGUUAAACUCUGGAAAGGGCAUCGGCUAGAACAUUGUCUUUACCUUUUUUGUGCACAAUCUCCAAAUUAAAGUUUUGUAAAUACAAAGACCAACGCAUUAAACGUUGAUUGUGAUUGUACAUGCGUGACAAGAAAACCAGGGGAUUAUGAUCCGUGAAAACUGUAAUAGCUUAUGGGAUGGUCUACACCGGAUUUAUCCUCCUGAAGGAGAACAGCUCCAGCACCAACACCACUGGCAUCCACUUCCAAUUUAAAAGGGGACCACACAAAAGACUUAGAUGGGCUUAGCAAGGAGGUAAGAGGUUGGACAACAGUCGAGAAGUUUUUGCAGAAACUUCGAUAGUACCCGGCCAUGCCCAGAAACCUGCGCAACUCACGGCGGGUGGUGGGAACGGGAAAUUCCAUAAUGGCCGUGACCUUGGCCGCAACAGGGCGAACUUGACCCUGACCCACUUCCUUACCAAGAUAGGUGCGUUACGAAGACCGAAUGGUAAAACAGAAUAUUGUAGAAGAUGAUCCGGAGUUACAAAAGCAGAAAUUUCAGAAGCUUGAGGG